AAAGCACUUCCUCAUUCCUCUCUUACGGCUGCAUAGCAGUCCACUGAAUGGGUCCAUCCAAGCUGAAUGAUCGCGUUGACUCAAGAAGAAGCCUUUGGGACCAAGGAAACUUUACCCUGAUCAUCAAGAAUCUUAAGAUAGAAGACUCAGAUACUUACAUCUGUGAAGUGGGGGACCAGAAGGAGGAGGUGCAAUUGCUAGUGUUCGGAUUGACUGCCAACUCUGACACCCACCUGCUUCAGGGGCAGAGCCUGACCCUGACCUUGGAGAGCCCCCCUGGUAGUAGCCCCUCAGUGCAAUGUAGGAGUCCAAGGGGUAAAAACAUACAGGGGGGGAAGACCCUCUCCGUGUCUCAGCUGGAGCUCCAGGAUAGUGGCACCUGGACAUGCACUGUCUUGCAGAACCAGAAGAAAGUGGAGUUCAAAAUAGACAUCGUGGUGCUAGCUUUCCAGAAGGCCUCCAGCAUAGUCUAUAAGAAAGAGGGGGAACAGGUGGAGUUCUCCUUCCCACUCGCCUUUACAGUUGAAAAGCUGACGGGCAGUGGCGAGCUGUGGUGGCAGGCGGAGAGGGCUUCCUCCUCCAAGUCUUGGAUC
rnacentral:sRNA from 1 species